AACAUACCAAGGAGUAAAGGACUAAUUGAGGAUGACUAGUCAUUCUAUAGAUUGGACGCUGAAUAGCGUAAUGAAGAUUAAUAUAUUCUUCGAUUCCAAAGGUGAAAACACCAAGAUGUCUCUGAAGUGUCCUUCGGGAUUCAAAGAUUCAUCAUAUUCAACCCUGUGAAUUGAAACAUCUUAGUAACAGGAGGAAAAAAAAUCAACCGAGAUUUUAACAAGUAGUGGCGAGCGAACGUAAAAUAAAAAAAAUCUGCGAGACCAAGUGGAAAGCAAGACCUUAAAAAGGUUAACGUCCUGAAAAUUGAAUAGAGAUUGAAAACUCUACCAUAGAAGGUGAAAGUCCUGUAAAUAUCAAGAUUGAAAGUGAAAACAAGAAAAUCGAGUCAGGAAAAUCAAGAGUAGAACGAUAUAAUUUGUUCAGAAGAAAGGGGAACCAUCCUCUAAAAAUAAAUAUGAUAGAAUGAACGAUAGUGAAGAGUACCGUGAGGGAAAGUUGAAAAGUACCUAAUGAGAAUCAUUUCCCGGAGAGCAGAACACGAAUGUGUUCACUCAUCGGAGAGAUUCUGAAAAGAGGGGUGAAAUAGAUCCUGAAUCAGUUAAGUCUAUUAAGCAGUUUGAGCCAAUUAAUGGUAAAAACGUACCUUUUGCAUAAUGGGUCAGCAAGUUAAUUUUUGGAGCAAGAAAACCAAAAGAGGUGAAAACCGAAGGUGAUCUAAGUGAAAACAAAAGAAGAAUCGAAAGAUUUUUCUGUUGAGUUCCAGAAAUUAGACCCGAAACCAAGUGAUCUAUCCAUGGCCAGGUGAAUCAAAAUCGAAUCUCUUCGAGCAUUUGCUCGGAGGAAGAACUCAAAGAGUUUUUGAUCUAGAAAUUGAAAAGACCGAACGGGUGAUCGUAGUAAUGCUCUCCGAUGAGCUAUGGAUAGCAGUGAAAAGCUAAUCGAACUUGGAAAUAGCUGGUAUACCGCGAAAACUAUUGAAGUAGAACGCUAAACUUCUGACAACAGGUGAAAUCUUUUAGAACACCUGGAGAGAAAGUCAGGGAAACACGAGGGUACAGCACUGGAAGAAAAUUCUAAACUGGAAAUAUCGGAAAAAGAAACGAAAAAGGUCGAAUCUUUGAUUCGGUUGCGGAGGACAUCUCCGAAGGAGGCCUUCGGGCCCCUGAGGUGCCCUACGGGAAAAAUGUCUGAAGAGAAUUCGUUCUUCUAAAUAGUUUAGUAGUCAGAUUAUCUGUGAUAAGGUAGUUAAUCAAAAGGGAAACAGCCCAGAUCAAUAGUUAAGGUCCCAAAUGAUUACUAAGUGAAAUUAACCGAAAACAAUUAUAAAACCUCUCUGUGAGCAUUAAGUGAACAGUAUUUUUACCGGCCCCCAUCUGUCAAUGUUGGGGAAAGAGAAAUCUUUGGGAAAAUGAGGAUAAAUGAUCAAAACAAUCAGGUUGUGGGCUUGGAAGCAGCCAUCAAUUAGAGAAAGCGUUACAGCUCAAUGAUCAAACCAGAAAUGGAGAGAUUUUGUUUAUCGGGAAAAUGUAUCGGGUCUAGAUCAUAAUGAUCGAACGAAGAGAAUAAUCUCAUUCGGAAAAGUAAUCAACCGAAACUUUGGCAAAAUAAAGAAACAAGAGAGAAAUCGAGCUAUGCUCAGUCUAUGACUUCUUGUUAUUAUUGGGUAGCGGUACAUUCAAUUGAUGGAGUGAAGGAAAAAUGUUAAUUUUUCUGGACUAAUUUGAAGAGAGAAUGCUGACAUGAGUAACUAAAAAGGAAAAAAAAAAUCCUUCCUCUAAAAUUCAAGGGUAAAAAAAUAAUCGGUUUCUAAGAGAAAAUCCAAACGGAUUUAUCGAUGAAAUGAAGAAUUUCCGGGCGUUCUCGAACGAGCCUUCGGGAUCUUCUUUAACCGUACCUUCCAACGCUGGAGAAUGAGCUGGUAAACAGUGAAGAGGAAUGGGAGAACCAUCUUGAAGGAACUAGGCAAAAUAACUCUGUAACUUCGGGAGAAGGAGGAGAAACAAAGAUUUCUAUAAAAAUAGAGAGGGGCAACUGUUUACUAAAAACACAGGAGUCAGCUUAGAGGUAACUCAUAGUAUUGGCUCUGAAGUCUGUCCGGUGCAAGUAAGUGAAAGAUGAAAGAAAGCAAUUUUUUUCUCAUAAUCUCUUGUAAACGACGGCCUUAACCAUAAGGGUCCUAAGGUAGCGAAAUUCCUAGACUAAUAAUUGUAGUCCUGCAUGAAUGGCGUAAUGAUCCCUCUACUUUCUACAAGAUGGACCCAGUGAAAUUGAAUUAUCCGUGCAGAUGCGGAUUACCAUUGGCUAGACGAGAAGACCCUUUGAAGCUUUACUGUAAUUAAAUUUCAUCUCAUUAAUGAACUGAAUGUAGAACUUAGUUUUCUUCUUCAUUCAUUGAUAAUAUGGAAAUUAUGUUCCUUAUAAGUUUAAGUGACAGUUUAACUGGGGAGGUUUCCUGCUAAAUAGUAACGAAGGAGUACAAAGGUAUAAUUGAAGUCACUCUGUAAUUGACUUGAAGAAAGAUUAUUUUCUUUCACCGAAUUUUGUUCGGUUUAAAUUGUAUAAUGGCAUAAAUAUGCUUGACUGUAAGACUAACAAGUCGAACAGGGAGGUAACUCGGUCAUAGUGAUCCCCAAAUUCUUGAUGGAAAGGUUUGGGCUCAACGGAUAAAAGCUACUCAAGGGAUAACAGGCUGAUCAUUCUUUAGAGUUCCUAUCGACGGAAUGGUUUGGCACCUCGAUGUCGGCUCAUCACAUCCUGGGGGUGUACAAGCUCCCAAGGGUUGGACUGUUCGUCCAUUAAAGUGGUACGUGAGCUGGGUUUAGAACGAUGUAAAUCAGUUCGGACUCUAUCUACCAAUGGAAAGAAGGAAGUAACAAGAAUAGAAUCCUAGUACGAAAGGAUUGGAUUGUGUGAACCUCUAGUGUACCUGUUGAACAAACUUGAUAUUUUGAUUUGUUCAUCACAGGGUAGCCACGUUCAUAAAAAAUAAGAGUUGAAAGCAUCUCAAACUCGAAGUUGAUCUUGAAACUUCUUAAUAAACACGCUAAAGAUUAUAGCGAAAUAGGUCAUAAGUGUUAAAAUUGUAAAAUUUGAGCUAAAUGAUACUAAUAGUUAAUAUCCUUGGUAUGUU
rnacentral:rRNA from 1 species